AAAAUUCUCUCAUCACAUCACUCACAAAUUUUCAUAAGUUUUCUUCACACAUUCACUCUACCAUACUUCAAUCCAAACAACCUCACUUUCUUUACACUUUUAUCCUUACACAUUCAUUCUCUCAAAUCCUCACGCAUCCCCACCCAAAUCCAAACACACCCCAAGCCCCUGUUUGGAUUGGGGGGUGGCACUGUAGCCGUAGACGGAUGUGGAGUGCCACCCCCGUUUGGAUCUGGUCAUGGUUGAGGGUGUGGGUGAGGGUGAGGUGAAAGUUAGGCCAAAUGAGAGAGCAUUCAGAAGUGAAGAGAAAGGAGAGGGUGAGGGAGUGAGUGCCAUGUAGGAUGGAGUGAAAUAUCAUUUGUGCCCUCACUUUAUUUUUGGACGUAUGUGGGCAUUGUACGUGAAGCAUGCAUGCGCAUCUGUGAAGACAAGCUUUUCAGCAGCAAAUGAGAUUCCUGAACAAGUCAGGAAUCUGUUUGACCAAGUUCAAAGCUCAAUAAAUGCAUAGGCAAGUUGGUGAGAGAGGGUAAUAAAGAGCUCCAACAAUAUAUAUGUGGUUCCCAAGCUCACAAAUCUCACAAACCUCACAAAGCAGAGACAAUUCGGUUGUUCACAAAGCACAUACAUAGAGAGCUUGGAGAGGGUCGUGAGUGCGCUUGAUUCUUCGUUUGUGACCUCAGGUGAGCUGUGUGUGAGUUUGGUUUCAUUCUUAAUCGAUUAUCACUGAAAAUGAGUGUAUGCCAUAAUCGAUUAUGUGGAAAAAAAUAGUUCAUAAUCGAUUAUGUUCAUCACAUAAUCGAUUAUGUGUAAAAAAUUUCCGUGAGAUAAUCGAUUAUGGUCGUUUUUGCACUAGAAGCAUAAUCGAUUAUGUGCCAUAAAGAUUUGGAUAAUCGAUUAUGUCCUAUUUUGCACUAGGGUGAUAAUCGAUUAUGGUUCUAAUUUUCCAUAUUUAUGAUUUUAUGUUUUUUGAACUAAUUUUUUAAUGAUUUUUUUUCCAUACACAGUUUGAUCAAUCUUAGACUUGCAUUGUGUUGCGGUUUUGUUAUGCUCUCUUGAGAUAUGUGUUUUUUUUUUGGAUGUUUAGUUUUAUUUUGAAUUUAAUCUGUUUAAAUUAUUUUAAAGUAGUUGUUAAUGAGUUUUUAAUUUUAGAUGUGAAUGUUUAAGAAAAUUGAUUAUAUAAGAUUGUACAUUGUUAAUUGUUAAUGUAAAAAUUUCAUGAAAUUUGAAUAUGUUAUUUUUGUGAUAUGAAUUGAAUUGAAUUGAAUUUAUAGAUUGAAAUUAGAGAUCAAUAUGUUAUUUUAAAAUAUUAUUAUUAAAAAGAUUAUAAAAAUUGUUGCAGUAAUUUAAAAACAGAAAAACCAAAUAUACAAAAGAUUUUUUUGACAAUAAUGCUAGGAUGGAAUCAUUACUUUGGGAAAAAGAGUAUGACAAAAUUAAAUAUAUUCCAGGUCAAUGGCGUAUGGCAACUUGGUAGGUCUCAUCAUGCACACGAGGAAGAUGAUGAAGAGGAUGAAUUGCCAGCACAAGAUGUUGAAGGUGGUUAACCUGAGGCGCCAAUCCCCAAUCAAACCGAAUUGUUAACCCAAAUUUUGUCCGGAUACAAAACAUGAAUACCCGCAUUGACAGGGUUGAUCAAAGGAUGGACCGAAUUGAGGAUACUCUGAAUGACAUUCGAUGUCAUCAAGGCCAUUGAUUGUGUUAUCAUUAUGUGAUUGUCAUUGUUAUUUUUAUUUCUAAUUUUCAUUUUGAACAUUAAUGAAUUGUUAUUGUUAUUUAAUAUUAAGGUUUUAUGCUACUUAUUUACAUAGUCAUAUUGUUUUGAAUGCAACUUUUUUACCAUUUUAU
rnacentral:lncRNA from 1 species